GGUUCCCGUCCCCUGUAACAGCAACUCCAUGUGGAGGUGCUCGCUGGUUCCAGUGGAGUUGCUGUUGCCUGGGGCGAGGGCCA
rnacentral:pre_miRNA from 1 species